UACGUAGGGUGCAAGCGUUGUCCGGAAUUAUUGGGCGUAAAGAGCUCGUAGGCGGCCAUGUAGGUCCGUUGUGAAAACUCGAGGCUCAACCUCGAGACGCCGAUGGAAACCAUGUGGCUAGAGUCCGGAAGAGGAGAGUGGAAUUCCUGGUGUAGCGGUGAAAUGCGCAGAUAUCAGGAAGAACACCGAUGGCGAAGGCAGCUCGCUGGGACGGUACUGACGCUGAGGCGCGAAAGCGUGGGGAGCAAACAGG
rnacentral:rRNA from 1 species